CUGGCAGCCCAGACCCAUUCCCCAGUGUCUGGAUUCGCGGUCCCUCUGUCGGCGCUGAACCCUCAUUUCUCCAUUUGGAUUUUCUCUGAGCAUCUCCCGCCUGGCUGGUGCUGCUCCCACCCACAGUCAUGGAAGCAGGUGGAUCCUCCCUCCUGUUGCUAUCGGAGUUGGGGCGGGGGGUGGCGUUGGCUUCUUCAGCAGCCGUCAGAAAACCCAGUCUCCGUUCCUGCCUCACCACCCCUGUGGGUCUGUGUCAUCCCUCACCAGGACUGUCUGCCACGCCUCCUGGUCACCUCUCCACCCCCCCAGGAGUCCUUCCUACAACUCACUCACUUAAGGGUCAAAAACACUGAUUUGAGCAGUGUGUUCCACCGUCCCUGGUCCCCAUUGCCUGUAAGACAACACGCAAAGCCUUUGCUUAAGCCAGAGGGUCUGCAGGAUGGCCCCUGCCUACUGUUCCACUCUGGAUCUCCCCCAUCACACCCUCUGCACCCCUCCCCUCCAGCCCCCGGGGCCCCCACCUCUCCUAACAUCCCACACUGCCCCGUGCCUCUGGGCCUCUGCGUGUGGCUCCUUGUCCCAAAAUGCCCCUCCCCACCAAGGCAACAAAGCCGCUCCGGGCUCUCAGACCCUGCACGUGCUUCUGACAUAGAGCCCAUCACUGCCAGCAUUUCCCCGGCCCUGCUGGAGGGAAAGGGCAAGUGUGACAGAUUCCUCUUCGUGCCCUCCGCAUCCCUCGUAAGUGUGGGGCGCACAUUUGCUGGACGAAUUGAAAAGAGUCAGACACGCAGCCUAUCAGAUCAGGCCCAGUGGUGCUCGCAGACUCGGAAACUGACUCACAUUGCUGGUGUUGUAAGAUGGGAGCCCACAUUUCCAAGGGGGCCAAGAGACAGCAGGCGGAAUAGAACAAGCGCCGUGCAGUGGGAUGCGAUGGGGGGGACGGAGUCGGACACGCGCUCAGUGACCGCCAGGGCCUGCCUGUUGCUCUGCAGAUGCCCCAAGAGCAGACAGGAGGAAGCAGUAGCCCCAGGGGGUGGAAAGACGCUGCACUGGCCCUGGGUUCCAGGCACCCCCAGUUCCAUUCACCAUCGUUCUCUCGGCGCGACUCUGUCCUGUCAGCCCUGGGCCUCGCUCUUCUCUUCCAUCACACGCAGAGAGCAUCUCCACCGUGAUUUCUCUCCUGAGCGCCCUGGGCGUCUGGCUCUCCCUGCGUGCACUACAUUCAGUAUUCAUGUCACGUGCGUUCUCGGAGAGCAGAGGUUCCUCUUGAGUUGUCUCUGGAUCCUUUGCACACAGCAAAUGUCCGAUGCACGCUCGGUGCGUGUGUGA
rnacentral:lncRNA from 1 species